UACGGGGGGAGCAAGCGUUGUUCGGAUUUACUGGGCGUAAAGGGCGCGUAGGCGGCCACUGCAAGUCAGUUGUGAAAUCUCCGGGCUUAACCCGGAAAGGUCAACUGAUACUGCAGGGCUAGAGUGCAGAAGGGGCAACUGGAAUUCUCGGUGUAGCGGUGAAAUGCGUAGAUAUCGAGAGGAACACCUGCGGCGAAGGCGGGUUGCUGGGCUGACACUGACGCUGAGGCGCGAAAGCGUGGGUAGCAAACAGG
rnacentral:rRNA from 1 species